rnacentral:rRNA from 1 species
GACGAACGCUGGCGGCGUGCUUAACACAUGCAAGUCGAACGGAAAGGCCCUGCUUGCAGGGUGCUCGAGUGGCUAACGGGUGAGUAACACGUGGGUGAUCUGCCCCUUAUUUUGGCAUAAGCCUUGGCAACUGGGUCUAAUACUGGAUAGGACCAUGCUGUAGGUGGUGUGGUGGAAAGAUUAGUUUCGGUAAGGGAUGAGCUCGCGGCCUAUCAGCUUGUUGGUGGGGUAAUGGCCUACCAAGGCGUCGACGGGUAGCCGUCCUGAGAGGGUGGAAGGACACAUUGGGACUGAGAUACGGACCAGACUCAUAAGGGAGGCAGCAGUGGGGAAUAUUGCAGAAAGGGCGCAAGCCUGAUGCAGCGAAGCCGCGGGGGGGAGGAAAGCCUUAGGGUUGUGAACUCCUGUCAGCCAUGAAGAAGCCCUUGUGGUGACGGUAGUGGUAGAAGAAGCACCGGCUAACUACGUG